rnacentral:rRNA from 1 species
GAAGCAGCUUGCUGCUUCGCUGACGAGUGGCGGACGGGUGAGUAAUGUCUGGGAAACUGCCUGAUGGAGGGGGAUAACUACUGGAAACGGUAGCUAAUACCGCAUAACGUCGCAAGACCAAAGAGGGGGACCUUCGGGCCUCUUGCCAUCGGAUGUGCCCAGAUGGGAUUAGCUAGUAGGUGGGGUAACGGCUCACCUAGGCGACGAUCCCUAGCUGGUCUGAGAGGAUGACCAGCCACACUGGAACUGAGACACGGUCCAGACUCAUACGGGAGGCAGCAGUGGGGAAUAUUGCACAAUGGGCGCAAGCCUGAUGCAGCCAUGCCGCGUGUAUGAAGAAGGCCUUCGGGUUGUAAAGUACUUUCAGCGGGGAGGAAGGUGUUGAGGUUAAUAACCUCAGCAAUUGACGUUACCCGCAGAAGAAGCACCGGCUAACUCCGUGCCAGCAGCCGCGGUAAUACGGAGGGUGCAAGCGUUAAUCGGAAUUACUGGGCGUAAAGCGCACGCAGGCGGUCUGUCAAGUCGGAUGUGAAAUCCCCGGGCUCAACCUGGGAACUGCAUUCGAAACUGGCAGGCUAGAGUCUUGUAGAGGGGGGUAGAAUUCCAGGUGUAGCGGUGAAAUGCGUAGAGAUCUGGAGGAAUACCGGUGGCGAAGGCGGCCCCCUGGACAAAGACUGACGCUCAGGUGCGAAAGCGUGGGGGAGCAAACAGGAUUAGAUACCCUGGUAGUCCACGCCGUAAACGAUGUCGACUUGGAGGUUGUGCCCUUGAGGCGUGGCUUCCGGAGCUAACGCGUUAAGUCGACCGCCUGGGGAGUACGGCCGCAAGGUUAAAACUCAAAUGAAUUGACGGGGGCCCGCACAAGCGGUGGAGCAUGUGGUUUAAUUCGAUGCAACGCGAAGAACCUUACCUACUCUUGACAUCCAGAGAACUUAGCAGAGAUGCUUUGGUGCCUUCGGGAACUCUGAGACAGGUGCUGCAUGGCUGUCGUCAGCUCGUGUUGUGAAAUGUUGGGUUAAGUCCCGCAACGAGCGCAACCCUUAUCCUUUGUUGCCAGCGGUUAGGCCGGGAACUCAAAGGAGACUGCCAGUGAUAAACUGGAGGAAGGUGGGGAUGACGUCAAGUCAUCAUGGCCCUUACGAGUAGGGCUACACACGUGCUACAAUGGCGCAUACAAAGAGAAGCGACCUCGCGAGAGCAAGCGGACCUCAUAAAGUGCGUCGUAGUCCGGAUUGGAGUCUGCAACUCGACUCCAUGAAGUCGGAAUCGCUAGUAAUCGUGGAUCAGAAUGCCACGGUGAAUACGUUCCCGGGCCUUGUACACACCGCCCGUCACACCAUGGGAGUGGGUUGCAAAAGAAGUAGGUAGCUUA